AAAAAAUUAAAAAUGCUACAUAGAAAAAAAAUUUCAUGUUCAUAUCAUGUAUGUACUAAUGUGAAAUUGUGAUUUAAUCGAAAAAAAGGGGGUCUUGCCACGAAGAAUAAAAAGUUGCGCAAUCCUGAAGUCAAAACAUUUUUUUUCUACUUUCUGUUUGCUAUUUAUACUAGGCCGCACCACUUCCAGUAAACAUGAUAUCCUUCCACUUUCCUGGAUUGAUAUCCCCAAAAGAUGCAAGAUUUUUUUUAAAGUCUAUAUAUAUGUUUCAAUUCAGC
rnacentral:lncRNA from 1 species